AAAAAGUUAAACGGUGUCCGAUUAAUACAUUCGUAAUGAGUAAGUCGCGGGUUCGAGUCCCGCUUUCGGCU
rnacentral:tRNA from 1 species